GGCUCGAUGGUGUAGUUGGUUAUCACGUCAGUCUAACACACCAGUUAGUUCACUGAAGGUCCUGCGAUCGAACCGCAGUCGAGUCA